rnacentral:rRNA from 1 species
AGCUUGUUGGUGAGGGUAACGGCCCACCAAGGCGACAACGGGUAGCUGGUCUGAGAGGAUGGUCAGCCACACUGGAACUGAGACACGGUCCAGACACCUACGGGUGGCAGCAGUCGAGAAUCAUUCGCAAUGGGGGAAACCCUGACGAUGCGACGCCGCGUGGAGGAUGAAGGCCUUAGGGUUGUAAACUCCUGUCAAGAGGGAAUAAGCAAGUGAAGGUACCUCUAGAGGAAGGGGCGGCUAAUUCCGUGCCAGCAGCCGCGGUAACACGGAAGCCCCGAGCGUUGUUCGGAUUCAUUGGGCGUAAAGGGUGCGUAGGCGGCGCGGAAAGUCCGGCGUGAAAGGCAGGGGCUCAACCUCUGGACUGCGUUGGAUACUUCCGUGCUUGAGGACUGGAGGGGAGACUGGAAUUCACGGUGUAGCAGUGAAAUGCGUAGAUAUCGUGAGGAAGACCGGUGGCGAAGGCGAGUCUCUGGACAGAUCCUGACGCUGAGGCACGAAGGCUGGGGGAGCGAACAGGAUUAGAUACCCUGGUAGUCCCAGCAGUAAACGAUGUGAGCUUGAUGUGGGGGGAUUCGACCCCUUCCGUGUCGAAGCUAACGCGAUAAGCUCACCGCCUGAGGAGUACGGCCGCAAGGCUAAAACUCAAAGAAAUUGACGGGGACCCGCACAAGCGGUGGAGUAUGUGGCUUAAUUCGAUGCAACGCGAAGAACCUUACCUGGCCUUGACAUGCAUUGUGUCGUCGGUGAAAGCCGGCUAGUCCUGGAAACAGGACGCUUUGCACAGGUGCUGCAUGGCUGUCGUCAGCUCGUGUCGUGAGAUGUUGGGUUAAGUCCCGCAACGAGCGCAACCCUUGUGGUCAGUUACUAACCGGCUUAGCCGGAGGACUCUGGCCAGACUGCCCUGUCAAACGGGGAGGAAGGUGGGGACGACGUCAAGUCAGUAUGGCCCUUAUGGCCAGGGCUGCACACGUACUACAAUGCCCGGUACAAUGUGAACCGAAACCGCGAGGUGGAGGAAAUCGCUCUUGAAAACCGGGCCCAGUU